rnacentral:rRNA from 1 species
UACGUAGGGUGCGAGCGUUGCCCGGAUUUAUUGGGCGUAAAGGGCGCGCAGGCGGCUACGCACGUCCGUUGUGAAAUCGCUCGGCUCAACUGGGCGGGGUCAGCGGAUACGGCGUAGCUGGAGCAAGCUAGGGGGCAAUGGAAUUCCAGGUGUAGUAGUGAAAUGCGUAGAUAUCUGGAAGAACACCAAUGGCGAAGGCAAUGUUCUGGCUCGUUUCUGACGCUCAGGUGCGAAAGCCAGGGGAGCGAACGGG